rfam:Salmo salar isolate Sally breed double haploid chromosome ssa04, whole genome shotgun sequence.
AAUGCACCAAUUUGUAAGUCGCUCUGGAUAAGAGCGUCUGCUAAAUGCUAAAUG